UGGGGAAUAUUGCACAAUGGGCGCAAGCCUGAUGCAGCCCAUGCCGCGUGUGUGAAGAAGGCCUUCGGGUUGUAAAGCACUUUCAGCGAGGAGGAAGGUGGGUGAACUUAAUACGUUCAUCAAUUGACGUUACUCGCAGAAGAAGCACCGGCUAACUCCGUGCCAGCAGCCGCGGUAAUACGGAGGGUGCAAGCGUUAAUCGGAAUUACUGGGCGUAAAGCGCACGCAGGCGGUUUGUUAAGUCAGAUGUGAAAUCCCCGGGCUCAACCUGGGAACUGCAUUUGAAACUGGCAAGCUAGAGUCUCGUAGAGGGGGGUAGAAUUCCAGGUGUAGCGGUGAAAUGCGUAGAGAUCUGGAGGAAUACCGGUGGCGAAGGCGGCCCCCUGGACGAAGACUGACGCUCAGGUGCGAAAAGCGUGGGGAGCAAACA
rnacentral:rRNA from 1 species